UACGAAGGGGGCUAGCGUUGCUCGGAAUCACUGGGCGUAAAGCGCGCGUAGGCGGAUCGCUAAGUCAGGGGUGAAAUCCCAAGGCUCAACCUUGGAAUUGCCUUUGAUACUGGCAAUCUGGAGUUCGGGAGAGGUGAGUGGAAUUCCGAGUGUAGAGGUGAAAUUCGUAGAUAUUCGGAGGAACACCAGAAGCGAAGGCGGCUCACUGGCCCGAUACUGACGCUGAGGCGCGAAAGCGUGGGGAGCAAACAGG
rnacentral:rRNA from 1 species